CAUCAAAUGAUGAGAAAAUUAACUGCAACAAAAUGAUCGACGAUUUGGUCGUGAUUACUAGUAUUUAAGUCUCUGAUGAUG